UUUAUUGCAUUGUCAAAUAAAUCCAGUGACUUUAUCAUAUUGCGUCCACCGUCCACCUCAACACAUUUCUCAUUUCCACUGCUCAGAUCAAGGAACUUGAGUUGGCACGACACAACACUGCCACUUAUCGGGAGCAUUCAGUAUGGCAGUCUGUCAUUGAUCAGUACUUAAAAGUCCUUCAAACAAACUUGAAUUUGACUGUUUGGAUUUAUGUAUUGCGUUUAAAUAUGUAGGUGAUUUUAAGGCUGCUUAAUGUAAACAUACUUGAGAUGAAGAAGGUAUUCUUUAUCAGAUUGUGUGCAUAUUAUUUUGAACAUCUUUCAGGGUCUUGCUGCACGACCAUUGAUCUGUUAAUUAACACACGGAUGUGAAGGCCUCUGUAUUGACGGUUUGUGCUCGGUAAUGAGAAUACCUGCGGGACAUCUAAAUCAAUGGAAGUCACAAGGGACAAUGCCAAGCAGUUGUUUACAGGCAUCCUGUAAACAGUUGUGGACGUCCAAAUUUUUCUGGAUGAGAAGGUAACGGCAAACAUAUAACUAAUGAUUUUCUUGUUUUAUAUUGGACCCAGUUCCUCUUCACAAAUGCUCUUAAAUUAAAUUUUAAAUAAAUAUUGCAAUUAACUAUUAAUUAUGUUUUGUUCAAAAACAUUGAACCAUGAAGUAUACUAUAACUAACACAAUAGGAUUUGUGGAUAAAGAUAAAUGUUGCGUUAAUGAUGGGAUAUUAAUGGAAUUAUAUUAAACAUCUUUAUUUUAAACUAAUGCAGUCAAUGUUUCACAAAUUCACACGUUAGAUAGACAGACAGACAGACAGAUAGAUAGAUAGAUAGAUAGAUAGAUUCAUUCCAUAAGUUUGGCUUCUGAAACUUGCUCAUCUUUUGUUUAGCGUUAUAAGGAAACAUUCAUUGUAGGGCCUUGUUACACAAAUUUUUGUAAAUUGUUCAUAAUACAUUCUUAAGUAAAUUGUCGCAUUCAGUUUAAUAAUUUGCAUGCAAGUAGAUUUAUGCACGAUUUACACAGAAAAUGCCUUGUUUCAUGAAUUAAGCCUGAUGUUUUGACAUUGACUGUUAGCUUAGGUUACAGUUGGAAAACACAUUUAAUGUACUAUUAAAUCUGCUAGUAAAUAUUCUGGACAUUUCAUACAUGAAAAACAUGAGUUUUCAUGCCUCUAAUAACAUAUGGGACGGUUGUAAACAUCAUAUUAGAUAUUUUCAAAAGAAUAAUUCCCUUUGGUGGGUCUUUUUAAAGCACAGUAUGAUUUGUCUCAGGCCCCAGAACAAUCCGACGUAAGUCAAUAGCAUCCUAAUAAAAAA